rnacentral:sRNA from 1 species
CCUAGGGUUGAAACCCUAGGCUAUGCUCUUGAAUCCUUUCAGGAUA